rnacentral:rRNA from 1 species
CCUACGGGUGGCAGCAGUGGGGAAUAUUGCACAAUGGGGGAAACCCUGAUGCAGCGACGCCGCGUGAAGGAAGAAGUAUUUCGGGAUGUAAACUUCGAUCAGCAGGGAAGAAAAUGACGGUACCUGACUAAGAAUCCCCGGCUAACUACGUGCCAGCAGCCGCGGUAAUACGGAGGGGGCAAGCGUUAUCCGGAUUUACUGGGUGUAAAGGGAGCGUAGGCGGUGCAGCAAGUCAGAAGUGAAAGCCCGGGGCUCAACCCCGGGAUUGCUGUUGAAACUGUUGAACUAGAUUGCAGGAGAGGUAAGUGGAAUUCCUGGUGUAGCGGUGAAAUGCGUAGAUAUUAGGAGGAACUCCAGUGGCGAAGGCGGCUUACUGGACUGUAAAUGACGCUGAGGCUCGAAAGCGUGGGGAGCAAACAGGAUUAGAUACCCGAGUAGUC